rnacentral:lncRNA from 1 species
AUGAAGAUUCUCACCGUUUUUCAUAGCAGUUUUCCUUAUGGCUGUAUCAGGGCAGACAUAAGCCAGGAGAUGAAGUUAUUGAAGAUUGUCUACCUCACCCAGCCUUUUCAGCCUCACCUCAGUAAAGACGGUGGGUGCGGCUACUGUUUGGACGAGAGUUCCCUCUGCAGGAUCUUCUGGUGGUCUGGGAUGCCUUGUUUGCAGAUGGCCUCAGCCUGAGUUUAGUCGACUAUAUCUUCAUAGCUAUGUUACUUUACAUCCGAGAUGCCUGUAAGUAUUAAUGUCCUUAACUAACUACAUUCAACUUGGUGGCUCUGAUUUUUCAAAAUGUUUUGCCUUUUAAAUAUAUUUUAUAUCUUAUUAGCUGACAUACACUUAAAUUCUUAUUGUAGGAGAUAUAUUAAAAUUUCAAAGGAAACAUUAAACAUCUUUUGUGUGUGUGUGUGUGAACCAUGUACAUAUUGGGAGAUGUGGGGGAUUUUAUCCUGAAAGACCUGAAUAUUCUUUAGAACCAUUUUCCUAAACACUUUACUCCUGCUUUAAUCUCCUCAUUACACACAUUUGUAAACUGUAUAUACAAAAGCUAGUAUUUCAGAUAUGUUUAGAGCUCCACCUUCUGACAUGUCGUGAGUAUUAAAGGAUAUUUACUGAGAGAGUGGAGCUGUUUUUAUAAUAUUAGUGCCUUGCCAAUGAAAAAAUAAAUCUGGAGUAUUUGACA